CUGAUUUCAGAUCCUGUGCUGUUCGUCACGGGGCUUGGGCCACCCCUUUGAUGUGGAUUUUCUGAAGAUCACAGGAUGGUCGAGCUGGGAAGGACCUCCAGAGGAACACCUGCCGGGGAGAGCCUACCAACAGCGUCCACAGAUCCACAUCGCUCCUUUAAAAGACAUAUGUUGAGUGCCCCUCUGUGUCAGAUGCCACAUUACAGCCAGAGCCACAUGGACCAAUAAGACCAGACAGCCCCUUCCAUCAGAGACCACAGACAGACUGCCGACUGACUCUGGAACCUCAGGACCAAGCAUCUGAAGUAGAGCAGAGAACCUGCCCAGGAGACCAGCUUGGGAGGCUGGUUAACAUUUAUUGGGAACUCACUGUGUACACAGGAAUUUAUACACCUGGGAGCACAUUGCGUCUGCAAAUAGUUCUCUUUCCUAAUCAAUGGACAGAGGUUUGGAAGAUCCGGCGAGCUUGGCAGUUCUCAGCCAUCACCAGCACCUUCUCUUAAGCAUGUAGGUUUGGGCUCCAGGGCGGAAGGGAUUAGCCUGGGUCUUGUCUGCAAUCCACUUUCACAGCUGAAGAAAUCGUUGAAAACAGUUCAAGUAACACCUGGGCCAGUUG